rnacentral:rRNA from 1 species
GAUCCUGGCUCAGAAUCAACGCUGGCGGCGUGCCUCAGACAUGCAAGUCGAACGCGAAAGGCUCCUUCGGGGGCCGAGUAGAGUGGCGCACGGGUGAGUAACACGUAGGUAAUUUGCCUUCGGGUGGGGAAUAACAGCCGGAAACGGCUGCUAAUACCGCAUAAUGCAGCGGCUCGACAUCGAGACAGUUGUUAAAGCGGGGGAUCGCAAGACCUCGCGCCUGAAGAGAAGCCUGCGGCAGAUUAGCUAGUUGGUAGGGUAAUGGCCUACCAAGGCAACGAUCUGUAACCGGCCUGAGAGGGCGGUCGGUCACACUGACACUGACAUACGGGUCAGACUCCUACGGGAGGCAGCAGUCGGGAAUUUUGGGCAAUGGGCGAAAGCCUGACCCAGCAACGCCGCGUGAAGGAUGAAAUCCCUCGGGAUGUAAACUUUGCAAGAAUGGGAAGAAUAAGUGGGGGACAAUACCCCCCAUGAUGACGGUACCAUUUGUAAGCUCCGGCUAACUCCGUGCCAGCAGCCGCGGUAAUACGGGGGGAGCAAGCGUUGUUCGGAUUUACUGGGCGUAAAGGGCGCGUAGGCGGCGUGACAAGUCACUUGUGAAAUCUCCGGGCUUAACUCGGAACGGUCAAGUGAUACUGUCGUGCUAGAGUACAGAAGGGGCAACUGGAAUUCUCGGUGUAGCGGUGA